AGAGAUUCAAGGCAGCUGUUUCUGGAGGAGGAAAUGGACUCUGAAAGUCUGCAGCCUUACUUUACAUGUCUCCAUUGAAAAAAUAGUCUGAAGAUGCUUUCAGAAUGUCUGCCUGGAAGCAUGAGCAGAUUGUGGAUUUGUACGAGGAAGAAUUGUUUAACCCUCACCAAUACCCAAAUGCUUCAGAAAGAGCUUUCCACCUGAACACAGAUUCUCUUCCCAGUCACACAUCCAGCAGGAACUCCAAGUUCACAGUGACUGACCAUGACAAACACUUGAACUUUGCAGGCUGCCAACCCUGCUCAUUCCUGCCCUUUUAACACGCUGGGACCUACAUGUUCACUGUUUGAGCUAACUCCUCUGGACCAUCUACAACAUCUAGAAUACAUCAAAGCUGGGAAAACCUGUGUUUUUGUCUCUAAAAUGACUCAUAUUUAUGAAUGCUUCAAUUCAAGAUUUGCUUUUUUUUAUUUAUUUUUUUAUUUUUUUUCUGUACUCAGCUGAGAGUGCUGAGUACAGGAAUGGUAUUGUCCUUUACAUGAUCAGGGCAGUAAUUAAACUGCGUGUUAUGUUGA